CCUACGGGCGGCAGCAGUGGGGAAUAUUGGACAAUGGGGGCAACCCUGAUCCAGCCAUGCCGCGUGUGUGAAGAAGGCCCUCGGGUUGUAAAGCACUUUCAGUGAGGAAGAACGCCUGGUGGUUAAUACCCAUCAGGAAAGACAUCACUCACAGAAGAAGCACCGGCUAACUCCGUGCCAGCAGCCGCGGUAAUACGGAGGGUGCGAGCGUUAAUCGGAAUUACUGGGCGUAAAGCGCGCGUAGGUGGCUUGAUAAGCCGGUUGUGAAAGCCCCGGGCUCAACCUGGGAACGGCAUCCGGAACUGUCAGGCUGGAGUGAGGGGGAGGAGGGUAGAAGUACCGGUGUAGGGGUGAAAUGCGUAGAGACCGGGAGGAAUACGAGUGGCGAAGGCGGCCUUCAGGCCUGACCCUGACACUGGGGUGGGAAAGGGUGGGUAGAAAAAAGGAUUAGAUACCCCGGUAGU
rnacentral:rRNA from 1 species